CGCGGAUCGUUCGAUAUGAUGAUAUCGGUUAUCAGGAAAAUUCCGGAUCGAUCGCUGGAUCGCUAGAUGCCAACACUAGGAAUACCACAGCAGUCAAAAUGACUGGUUCUACAAUUUUAUAAAUGUGUCAACCCUCGUUUAGGGAUCCCAGAUGGAUUAAUAAUACCAAAAAU